UCCUUAUAAAGAGACGGGGGAAGAAACUGGUCUAAUGAUCCCGCAGCAACCUUCCGUAAGGUGCUCAAUCCAGCAGAUGCAAAUCUGAAAGAUAAGGA
rnacentral:ncRNA from 1 species